CUAAAGUCACUUACCUUAAGGGCACACAUACAUGUAGAUGAUGCUCUCAUACGAUGUUUAUUGUGCAGCUACUACUCUAUGCCACGUGUUUUGCUGCCCACAGGAAAUACAGAGAUAAAAGACAAAGACUUUGCCCUGGAGAAGCUCAUGGUCCAAUAGAGGAGAAAGACAAGUAAACCAAAAACUACUCUACAAUACCAUAAACUGCUAUGACAGAGAUUGGGUACUGCAGUGAUAAAAGGACAAAGGGGUACCUAAUUUGGGGCAGGAAAUUGGGAAGAGGGUUAAAGAACACUUCCCAGAGGAGGCGAUGACUGAGCUGCAUUCUGAAGGACAAACAGGCCUAAGACAGGCAGUCACGGCCAUGCAUAUGCUCUGGCUAAAGCCCACUGGCUCUUAUUGUCUUCAGACUAGAAUCCACUGUGCUUUAUGAUCACUGUCACCCAUUUACAACAAAAUCUUAGUAUCCCACCACCUUCUGGAUAUGAAAGAAGGGAAAAAAGAAUAUGUAUAUAUUUGCUUGUUUUUGUAAAGAGAAAAACAGAAGGAUAAGCCAAAAAUAAAUUAAAAUAAUUACGUAUAAGAGUGAGUGGAAAUGGGGUGAAAAGGACAGGGAAUGGAAAUGGAGCUGAGUAUUUAUUUUUAUACUUUUGAUUAUGAACCAUGUUACAUAUUCAAAAUAUAAAUCAAGAAAGAAAAAU
rnacentral:lncRNA from 10 species